UCCCCGGUAGCUCAGUCGGUAGAGCGGAUGACUGUUAAUCAUUAGGUCGGCGGUUCGAGCCCGUCCCGGGGAG
rfam:Legionella feeleii strain WO-44C Lfee_ctg081, whole genome shotgun sequence.